GACGAACGCUGGCGGCGUGCCUAAUACAUGCAAGUCGAACGCAGUGGGGACGGGUGAGUAACACGUGGGUAACCUCCCAUCAGAGGGGAUAACACUUGGAAACAGGUGCUAAACCGAUACUGAUGGAUGGACCCGCGGUGCAUUAGCUAGUUGGUGAGGUAACGGCUCACCAAGGCCACGAUGCAUAGCCGGCCUGUAGGGGUGAUCGGCCACACUGGGACGGAGAAACGGCCCAUACUCCUACGGGAGGCAGCAGUAGGGAAUCUUCGGCAAUGGACGAAAGCCUGACCGAGCAACGCCGCGUGAAUGAAGAAGGUUUUCGGAUCGUAAAACUCUGUUGUUAGAGAAGCGGUAUCUAACCACAAAGCCACGGCUAACUACGUGCCAGCAGCCGCGGUAAUUC
rnacentral:rRNA from 1 species